rnacentral:rRNA from 1 species
CAGCAGCCGCGAUAAUACAGAGGGUGCGAGCGUUAAUCGGAUUUACUGGGCGUAAAGCGUGCGUAGGCGGCUUCUUAAGUCGGAUGUGAAAUCCCUGAGCUUAACUUAGGAAUUGCAUUCGAUACUGGGAAGCUAGAGUAUGGGAGAGGAUGGUAGAAUUCCAGGUGUAGCGGUGAAAUGCGUAGAGAUCUGGAGGAAUACCGAUGGCGAAGGCAGCCAUCUGGCCUAAUACUGACGCUGAGGUACGAAAGCAUGGGGAGCAAACAGGAUUAGAUACCCCAGUAGUCCCUGUCUCUUAUAC